GUUAAGCGACUAAGCGUACACGGUGGAUGCCCUGGCAGUCAGAGGCGAUGAAGGGCGUGCUAAUCUGCGAUAAGCGCCGGUAAGGUGAUAUGAACCGUUAUAACCGGCGAUACCCGAAUGGGGAAACCCAGUGUGACUCGUCACACUAUCAUUAACUGAAUCCAUAGGUUAAUGAGGCGAACCGGGGGAACUGAAACAUCUAAGUACCCCGAGGAAAAGAAAUCAACCGAGAUUCCCCCAGUAGCGGCGAGCGAACGGGGAGGAGCCCAGAGCCUGAAUCAGCAUGUGUGUUAGUGGAAGCGUCUGGAAAGGCGCGCGAUACAGGGUGACAGCCCCGUACACAAAAGCGCAUGUGCUGUGAGCUCGAUGAGUAGGGCGGGACACGUGGUAUCCUGUCUGAAUAUGGGGGGACCAUCCUCCAAGGCUAAAUACUCCUGACUGACCGAUAGUGAACCAGUACCGUGAGGGAAAGGCGAAAAGAACCCCGGCGAGGGGAGUGAAAAAGAACCUGAAACCGUGUACGUACAAGCAGUGGGAGCCCCACCACUAAGCCAGUGGUGAACUCCACAUACGCAUCCUUUGCUGAGGAUACGGUUAACGGAGCGAAAGCGACGUUCAACCUCAAAAGAAGCAGAGGGGGCUUAGUGGUGGGGUGACUGCGUACCUUUUGUAUAAUGGGUCAGCGACUUAUAUUCUGUAGCAAGGUUAACCGAAUAGGGGAGCCGGAGGGAAACCGAGUCUUAAUUGGGCGUUAAGUUGCAGGGUAUAGACCCGAAACCCGGUGAUCUAGCCAUGGGCAGGUUGAAGGUUGGGUAACACUAACUGGAGGACCGAACCGACUAAUGUUGAAAAAUUAGCGGAUGACCUGUGGCUGGGGGUGAAAGGCCAAUCAAACCGGGAGAUAGCUGGUUCUCCCCGAAAGCUAUUUAGGUAGCGCCUCGUGAAUUCAUCUCCGGGGGUAGAGCACUGUUUCGGCUAGGGGGCCAUCCCGGCUUACCAACCCGAUGCAAACUGCGAAUACCGGAGAAUGUUAUCACGGGAGACACACGGCGGGUGCUAACGUCCGUCGUGAAGAGGGAAACAACCCAGACCGCCAGCUAAGGUCCCAAAGUCAUGGUUAAGUGGGAAACGAUGUGGGAAGGCCCAGACAGCCAGGAUGUUGGCUUAGAAGCAGCCAUCAUUUAAAGAAAGCGUAAUAGCUCACUGGUCGAGUCGGCCUGCGCGGAAGAUGUAACGGGGCUAAACCAUGCACCGAAGCUGCGG
rnacentral:rRNA from 1 species